AGUGAACGCUGGCGGUAGGCCUAACACAUGCAAGUCGAACGGCAGCACAGUAAGAGCUUGCUCUUACGGGUGGCGAGUGGCGGACGGGUGAGGAAUACAUCGGAAUCUACUUUUUCGUGGGGGAUAACGUAGGGAAACUUACGCUAAUACCGCAUACGACCUACGGGUGAAAGCAGGGGAUCUUCGGACUUUGCGCGAUUGAAUGAGCCGAUGUCGGAUUAGCUAGUUGGCGGGGUAAAGGCCCACCAAGGCGACGAUCCGUAGCUGGUCUGAGAGGAUGAUCGGCCACACUGGAACUGAGACACGGUCCAGACUCCUACGGGAGGCAGCAGUGGGGAAUAUUGGACAAUGGGCGCAAGCCUGAUCCAGCCAUACCGCGUGGGUGAAGAAGGCCUUCGGGUUGUAAAGCCCUUUUGUUGGGAAAGAAAAGCAGCAGGUUAAUACCCCGCUGUUCUGACGGUACCCAAAGAAUAAGCACCGGCUAACUUCGUG
rnacentral:rRNA from 1 species